GACGAACGCUGGCGGCGUGCUUAACACAUGCAAGUCGAACGGAAAGGCCCUGCUUUUGUGGGGUGCUCGAGUGGCGAACGGGUGAGUAACACGUGAGUAACCUGCCCUUGCCUUUGGGCUACCUUCAGGAAACUGGGGCUCCUACCGGAUAGGAGCUCCUGCUGCAUGGUGGGGGUUGGCAAGUUUCGGCGGUUGGGGAUGGACUCGCGGCUUAUCAGCUUGUUGGUGGGUUAGUGGCUUACCAAGGCUUUGACGGGUAGCCGGCCUGAGAGGGGGACCGGCCACAUUGGGACGGAGAUACGGCCCAGACUCCAACGGGAGGCAGCAGUGGGGAAUAUUGCACAAGGGGCGGAAGCCGGAGGCAGCAACGCCGCGGGCGGGAUGCCGGCCUUCGGGUGGAAAACCGCUUUCGCCGGUGACGAAGCGGGAGUGACGGUAAUGGGUAAAGAAGCACCGGCUAACUACGUG
rnacentral:rRNA from 1 species